GGAUCAAUGGGAUGGAUGGGAUCAUUGGGGUCAUGGGUUCAAUGGGUGAUAUGGGUGGGAUCAUGGCUGGGAUCAUCAGCGGCAUCCAUGGGAUCUGUGGGAUCAGUGGGAUGGAUGGGAUGAUCAGUGAGGUCAUGGGACCAGUGUGAUCCUGGUGUGGAUGGGAUCAUCACUGGGAUCCAUGGGAUCAGUGGGAUUGCUGGGAUGGGUGGGAUCAUCAGUGGGGUGAUGAGAUCAGUGGGAUUGCAGGGAUGGAUGGGACCAUCAGUGGGGUCAUGGGAUCAGUGUGAUCGCUGGUGUGGAUGGGAGCAUCACUGGGAUCCAUGGGAUCAGUGGGAUCGUUGGGAUGGAUGGGAUCAUCAGUGGGGUCAUGGGAUCGAUGGGUGACAUGGGUGGGAUCAAUGGUGGGAUCAAUGGGACGGAUGGGAUCAUUGGGGUCAUGGGUUCAAUAGGUGAUAUGGGUGGGAUCAUGGAUGGGAUCAUCAGCGGCAUCCAUGGGAUCAGUGUGAUCGCUGGUGUGGAUGGGAUCAUCACUGGGAUCAUGGGAUCACUGGGUGACAUGGGUGGGAUCAAUGGUGGGAUCAAUGGGAUGGAUGGGAUCAUUGGUGGGGUCAUGGGAUCGAUGGGUGACAUGGCUGGGAUCAUGGAUGGGAUCAAUGGGAUGGAUGGGAUCAUUGGUGGGAUCAAUGGGAUGGAUGGGAUCAUUGUGGGGUCAUGGGGUCGAUGGGUGACAUGGGUGGGAUCAGGGAUGGGAUCAUCAGCAGCAUCCAU
rnacentral:lncRNA from 7 species